rnacentral:lncRNA from 1 species
AUAAACUGUAAACAGCAAUAAUGUUCAGCAAAGUAAGAUCUUCAAUUAAGUCAAUUUGACCAAAAUUGUCAAUUGACCCCUUAAGGAGUUAUAGCCCUUUAAAGACUUUUUUUCACAAUUUGUUCAUCAUGUUGACUUACUUUAAAAAAUCUUCUCCUUUGAAACUGCUGUAUCAAUUUCAGCCAAACUUAGGCUAAAUGAGUUUCAGAGUAUCUAGUAUAAAUUUUAUAUUUUAUUUCCUUGUAUGUCAAGAAACAUAGCUACUAUGGCUAAAAUAGAACAUAGGAGAAAAUUAUUAUUUUUUUUGGCUUUUGAAGAAAAUAGGACGAUCCAAAAAACAUUUAAAUAAAUUGAUAAGCCAAAAUAAUCAUUGAUGAGAGAUUUAACCAAAAGAAUUAAGGUGAGCGAUUCAGGCUCUUGAGAGCCUCUUGUUA